rnacentral:rRNA from 1 species
GGUUAAGCGACUAAGCGUACACGGUGGAUGCCCUGGCAGUCAGAGGCGAUGAAGGACGUGCUAAUCUGCGAUAAGCGUCGGUAAGGUGAUAUGAACCGUUAUAACCGGCGAUUUCCGAAUGGGGAAACCCAGUGUGAUUCGUCACACUAUCAUUAACUGAAUCCAUAGGUUAAUGAGGCGAACCGGGGGAACUGAAACAUCUAAGUACCCCGAGGAAAAGAAAUCAACCGAGAUUCCCCCAGUAGCGGCGAGCGAACGGGGAGCAGCCCAGAGCCUGAAUCAGUGUGUGUGUUAGUGGAAGCGUCUGGAAAGGCGCGCGAUACAGGGUGACAGCCCCGUACACAAAAAUGCACAUACUGUGAGCUCGAUGAGUAGGGCGGGACACGUGGUAUCCUGUCUGAAUAUGGGGGGACCAUCCUCCAAGGCUAAAUACUCCUGACUGACCGAUAGUGAACCAGUACCGUGAGGGAAAGGCGAAAAGAACCCCGGCGAGGGGAGUGAAAAAGAACCUGAAACCGUGUACGUACAAGCAGUGGGAGCACGCUUAGGCGUGUGACUGCGUACCUUUUGUAUAAUGGGUCAGCGACUUAUAUUCUGUAGCAAGGUUAACCGAAUAGGGGAGCCGAAGGGAAACCGAGUCUUAACUGGGCGUUAAGUUGCAGGGUAUAGACCCGAAACCCGGUGAUCUAGCCAUGGGCAGGUUGAAGGUUGGGUAACACUAACUGGAGGACCGAACCGACUAAUGUUGAAAAAUUAGCGGAUGACUUGUGGCUGGGGGUGAAAGGCCAAUCAAACCGGGAGAUAGCUGGUUCUCCCCGAAAGCUAUUUAGGUAGCGCCUCGUGAAUUCAUCUCCGGGGGUAGAGCACUGUUUCGGCAAGGGGGUCAUCCCGACUUACCAACCCGAUGCAAACUGCGAAUACCGGAGAAUGUUAUCACGGGAGACACACGGCGGGUGCUAACGUCCGUCGUGAAGAGGGAAACAACCCAGACCGCCAGCUAAGGUCCCAAAGUCAUGGUUAAGUGGGAAACGAUGUGGGAAGGCCCAGACAGCCAGGAUGUUGGCUUAGAAGCAGCCAUCAUUUAAAGAAAGCGUAAUAGCUCACUGGUCGAGUCGGCCUGCGCGGAAGAUGUAACGGGGCUAAACCAUGCACCGAAGCUGCGGCAGCGACGCUGAUGCGUUGUUGGGUAGGGGAGCGUUCUGUAAGCCUGUGAAGGUGUGCUGUGAGGCAUGCUGGAGGUAUCAGAAGUGCGAAUGCUGACAUAAGUAACGAUAAAGCGGGUGAAAAGCCCGCUCGCCGGAAGACCAAGGGUUCCUGUCCAACGUUAAUCGGGGCAGGGUGAGUCGACCCCUAAGGCGAGGCCGAAAGGCGUAGUCGAUGGGAAACAGGUUAAUAUUCCUGUACUUGGUGUUACUGCGAAGGGGGGACGGAGAAGGCUAUGUUGGCCGGGCGACGGUUGUCCCGGUUUAAGCGUGUAGGCUGGUUUUCCAGGCAAAUCCGGAAAAUCAAGGCUGAGGCGUGAUGACGAGGCACUACGGUGCUGAAGCAACAAAUGCCCUGCUUCCAGGAAAAGCCUCUAAGCAUCAGGUAACAUCAAAUCGUACCCCAAACCGACACAGGUGGUCAGGUAGAGAAUACCAAGGCGCUUGAGAGAACUCGGGUGAAGGAACUAGGCAAAAUGGUGCCGUAACUUCGGGAGAAGGCACGCUGAUAUGUAGGUGAAGCGACUUGCUC